ACGGGAACAGCACGGCCGCAAAUCUGACUCGUCCCGCAGGGGACUCGUCCCCGAGGGACUCGGGAUUGCGGAGGUGC
rnacentral:ncRNA from 1 species